GAUGAACGCUGGCGGCGUGCCUAAUACAUGCAAGUCGAGCGAACAGACGAGGAGCUUGCUCCUCUGACGUUAGCGGCGGACGGGUGAGUAACACGUGGAUAACCUACCUAUAAGACUGGGAUAACUUCGGGAAACCGGAGCUAAUACCGGAUAAUAUAUUGAACCGCAUGGUUCAAUAGUGAAAGACGGUUUUGCUGUCACUUAUAGAUGGAUCCGCGCCGCAUUAGCUAGUUGGUAAGGUAACGGCUUACCAAGGCAACGAUGCGUAGCCGACCUGAGAGGGUGAACGGCCACAACGGAACUGAGGCACGGGCCAAACUCCUACGGGAGGCAGCAGUAGGGAAUCUUCCGCAAUGGGCGGAAGCUUGACGGAGCAACGCCGCGUGAGUGAUGAAGGUCUUCGGAUCGUAAAACUCUGUUAGUAGGGAAAAACAAAUGUGUAAGUAACUAUGCACGUCUUGACGGUACCUAAUCAAAAAGCCACGGCUAACUACGUG
rnacentral:rRNA from 1 species